ensembl:lincRNA
AGUCAGUCCUUCUGCAGAAAGCCUGCUUGUGUCUCAGGUUGUUUCCUCAGUCUUGGAGCAGAUAACAAACAGAACAUCAGAUGACAAUAUAGCAAAGCCAGGAGAUGUACAAAAAUCUUUUGAGCCAUUAAGCAUACCAGUUUUGGAAAAGAAAGUUUGUUUUCAGGGUGCUGUUUCAAAACAGUCUAGUGAAGGAAUUAUCCCAACACUCAUGCUUGGAGAAAGUCGAGACAUUUUAGGACUGUCUGGGUCUGUUAUUAUUAAACAAGCAAAGGGGAUAGUCCUGGAAAUUAUUGAAAGGGCAGUAGAUCAAUUACAUCUUUCCAGAUCUGUCCCUCUAGGUGUUGCAGAAUGUUCCAGCCAAACUGGUAUCAAAAUGAAAUCACCCUCAGACUCUCUGCUCAGCCUGGUGGCCUCUGAUGUCGUGGACACUGUUCUUAGGACGAUUGAGUCCGCCUCUUGCACCCCAGGUGUUUUGUCUUGUGGCGAUGUCAGCAUUGUGGAUUUUGAAACUGUGGGAACGUGUCCAAAUCCCUCAGUAUGUGUGACUGAUUCUGAUUUGCUCAUUGAAGAUCUUGUUACGAGUGUCAUGGACAAGCUAAAGCCGUUGGCUAAUUCUGGUAAGAGAGCUGUCUCUGGACCACCUCUCAGGGAUUCCACGUCUCUUAAUUCAUUGAUGCCACAAAGUCUCCCCAGCCUGCCUUUGACAGAUAUUCAGGAGGUGGAGUUCGCCUUGAACUCCUUUGCCAAAGAGGUAGUGAGCUCUGUACUGGAAGUGGUUAAGGACGAAUUAGAUGGAGAGAAUCUCCUGAAGUUAUCCCCCUCUGGACCUGUCACCAAUUCAGAAGAAACUCUGCUAGUGUGCGAGAUUGUGUCCUCAGUCCUGGAACAGUUAAAGCAUCUGGAAGAUAUUCCAGGCUGUGCAGUCCCACACACUGAAAAUACUGUGGAAAAGACCGAAGCUAACUCUCAUCCCCUGAGGAGCGCAGAUUCAGGGGUGGAACUGACUAAGCUGCAGACAUGCAAUGACCAAUCGUCUUCCAAAGUUAGCUCGGAGUCGGAAUUCAAGACGGCUACAAUAAAGUCGGUUUGUGGCAUUAUGGAAAGGGUUGCCGCAAAAUUCCAGCCCCCGAGAUCUGACCACCACGCUGUGGAGUCAUGCAGCAGUGCUCUGAGGGAAGUUUCGGACGUACAGAAACAUGCAUGUGAGUCUUGGUCUUCUGCCUGUUUGCCUUCAGCAGCUUCAGAUGUUGUAGAGGCUGUGCUGGGAAAACUUGUGGAAGUGGCCGGCAGCGAAGAGGUUUCAGACGAGCGCAGCCUUGGGCAAGACCGGUGUGCUCAAGAGCCAUCCACCACUUUGGCCAGGAAAGUAGACUCUGGCACGUGGGUUGAGCCUUCACAGAUCCAAGGAGUCACUGAGGAACUGGUUGACACAGUGAUGGGUAAACUUAAAGUUUUUUUGGGCAUGAAGUCAUCAUCUGAAAGCCAACAGUUGCCUGCUCAAAUGUGUGGAUCUGGAGAAUUAAAAGGGGACAGUUUCCCAUUGUCAGGAGGUGUAUCAGUGUGUGAAACCAAAAGUGAAGUUAAGAGCUCAGGCUUAAGCCGCUGUGUACAGGAUGUUGUCAGUCAGGUAUUGCAUAUGAUCAAGACUGAGAUAGACGGGGAGAAUGAAGCCCGUGCCUCACAGGAAACACUGCUAGCAAAAAAAGUUGUGGAUUAUUUUUUGUGCAAAGUCACUGCUCCAAAACUAGAAAAACUGGAUUCUGAGAAAACCGUGAUUAUAACUGAAGAGCCCUGCCGAGUUACAAGCACUCAUGUUGAAAAAGAAGACUUGGAAAUGCCUGAUGAAAUCCCUGUCCAGCCCUGUGAUCCCGUCAAUGUCCCAGGCAUGGUCAUCUACUCGCAGUCCGACUCCACCGACGAGACCCCGACGGUCUCCUCCAGGAGAGCCGCUUGCAGCUCCUCAUCGAAGACUCCCGCCCCGGCCAGCGAGAAGGAGGAGGACCUCUUCAAAGGCCCGGGGUCCAGGUGCACCAUGGGUAUCCGACCACGCUGCCGUAAGAAGUCUUUGGCCCCGAAGGAUCUAGGCCUGUCUGGAAAUGAGCCAGACUUCGUGUCCGAGGGGGUAACCCCCAAACGAAAUCUCAUGGAGAAGCUUUUCAGGGGAAAAAGAUUCACAGCCAAGGAACAGCUGGCAGGAGAAACCAUAAGGUCCAGUGCUAGAGCAGCAGACCCUUCUGGCCCCACCAGCGCUGUGCGGCUGCCUACUGGAAGAGGCACAGCGCCCCCUGCUGGCUCCACGGCGCCGGAGAAUGGCCUGGCAGUCGGCACGGUUGCAGACGCUGCAGACUCUCUCGCUAGAACCAGGCGUAGAGGGAUUCCAGCCCAGCUUCCGGAGAAGACCUUCCUGGCCCCCAUGUCCGUGAGCUCGGCCACCUGCUCCACUGUGGGUUCCUCCCUGGGCCAGGAUCCCGCCAUGGCAGCCAGAGAGAGACGUGUGAAAAAGCUGCCGAAGAUAGCCCCACAGGCUGUUGAGAAGGUAUGUUUCCUGCAAGGUAUACAGUAGUAGCAGUUGUGUUCUACAGGUGACCCCUGAUAAAGGAAAUGGAUCAUCACCACUCGUAUGCUGUGUGUUGCUGUAAGAGCAGGACACUGUCCGGGCUUCACCCUGGUGCUCUCAGUGCAGCUCUGAUCUCUCUGCGAUGCUUCUGCGUUGAAGAGUGGAGACUUCCACUUCUUUAGUGAUACCAUACAGAUGUGCCUGUUUUGUGUUGUCUUUCCAGGGCCUCCAACAGCACCCAGGACAGUUUGAGGGCUUCCCAGCUGGUGAGUUCUAUAUGGUUGGCAAGGUUAUGCAAAAGAGGAAUCUUAAAAGACGACUGCUUCCUAGAAUCAUCACAGUAUAAAAACGGUUAAAAACGAGAUGAGGCCAUCUUAAUCGGUAGGAGUUAAUUGAUCCCAGGAUCUUAUCCUGCCAUUUCUUGAAAGAAGCCAGGGUAUCAGCUUCAACAACAUUACUGGGCGGCUUGUUCCACACUCCCACAACCCUUUGGGUAAAGAUGUGCCCACUGUUCUC